rnacentral:sRNA from 1 species
UCCUCCAACUUUUUCCAAACUUCUUUUGUAGAAUCCAAUUCCCCCAACUUUUCUCAAAACUGUGUCAGAUAAAUGUAAGAUAAUCGAAGUGUAAGCAAGUUCAUCGUAUUCCUCUUUUUGCAUUUCUGUCAAAUUGCAGGAAAUUUGCCAUUUAUGGCUUUUGAAACUUUUUGUUGAACUAAAAUUUCUUUCAUCUUUUGUUGCCAAAUUGAAAAAUUCUCUUGCCCAUUGAAAACACCAACUUCAAAAUGUGAAGACAUUUUUGGGAAAAUAGAGCAACUAAAUGCACAGAUAUGUCACACAAAAUAAUCCUACGGUCGCAAUAUACACUGUUCUAGAUUCUCAGGAUUUCGUAAGAUUCGCGAUCUUAGAUUAAUGAAAUUUUCAAACAGGUCAAGUCUAGAUAUUCUAACAGGAUAAUCAAUGCAACAUGUAUAUUAAAAAAAUUUUAAUUAUCACACAAUGCAGUCUCACGCAGUGACUAUAUGACAAUUAGAGCUCAAAAUCAAUUACCAACUACAAUCAACUUCAACACUUCAAAUAGGACAGAUAAUUCCUAAAUUUUCUCUCACAAGCAAUAACGACCCCCAAUCCUAAUGAUCACCCCACAUGAUGAUCUACUAAUGUGAUAAUGUAAAGGUUUCAACCAAUUUACUAGAGCGGACCUAUCUGAGUAAGUAAAUUACGAUAGAUACGAAUCUACUGCUUUAGGGCCACCACUAUUUGCCCUAAAAUUCAGCGGGUGUGCUAACACGAAUGUCUAGCAACCAAUUGCCAAUGUCUAGGGGCAAAAAUGUCCAACUUUUUGUGUAUCCUAAAACUGAAAACUAACAAUGCAAAAUCAUUAGAAAGCAUGUUAGAAAAAUUCUGCCUGAAGAAGUCGUCGUCGAAGGAGCCCGCACGCUCCCCAACUUGCAGUCGUCGAAAUCUCUAUACACCUCUGUCGUUGCACGUCACCCAGAUGCCCCGGCCACCCAGCACCACCUCCACCUACAAAUCACGAAUCCGGCCUCCGUUUUACCAAAAGACACCUG